rnacentral:rRNA from 1 species
GCGAACAUAUUAGCAGAAGUUUUCGGAUGGAAGCGGAUAUGACUUAGCGGCGGACGGGUGAGUAACGCGUGGAUAACCUGCCUCAUACAGGGGGAUAACAGUUAGAAGUGACUGCUAAUACCGCAUAAGCGCACAGGACCGCAUGGUCCGGUGUGAAAAACUCCGGUGGUAUGGGAUGGAUCCGCGUCUGAUUAGCUGGUUGGUGAGGUAACGGCCCACCAAGGCGACGAUCAGUAGCCGACCUGAGAGGGUGGCCGGCCACAUUGGGACUGAGACACGGCCCAAACUCCUACGGGAGGCAGCAGUGGGGAAUAUUGCACAAUGGGGGAAACCCUGAUGCAGCAACGCCGCGUGAGUGAAGAAGUAUUUCGGUAUGUAAAGCUCUAUCAGCAGGGAAGAAGAAAGACGGUACCUGACUAAGAAGCCCCGGCUAACUACGUGCCAGCAGCCGCGGUAAUACGUAGGGGGCAAGCGUUAUCCGGAUUUACUGGGUGUAAAGGGAGCGUAGACGGCUGUGCAAGUCUGAGGUGAAAGCCCGUGGCUCAACCGCGGGACUGCUUUGGAAACUGUAUAGCUUGAGUACUGGAGAGGCAGGCGGAAUUCCUAGUGUAGCGGUGAAAUGCGUAGAUAUUAGGAGGAACACCAGUGGCGAAGGCGGCCUGCUGGACAGAAACUGACGUUGAGGCUCGAAAGCGUGGGGAGCAAACAGGAUUAGAUACCCUGGUAGUCCACGCGGUAAACGAUGAAUGCUAGGUGUUGGGGAGCAAAGCUCUUCGGUGCCGUCGCAAACGCA